CUGACUGUUCUGGGGACUAAAAUCCUCCAUGUACAGAAUAGGUAUAGCACUAAUGGAACAAACUUUCCCACAGUGGCCCAUCAAUGUGUUUCAACUGUGACUUGGAGGGACCACCUCUAGCAGUGAGAUGGGAGUUCCGUCUCCAUGCCUAUUAAAAUCCUCAGCCUGU
rnacentral:sRNA from 1 species